UGGUAUCAAUAUCUAUGGUGUCUUCUUGUCGCACCUGCCGCCUUUUUUAUUUGCCGAGUCCCUGGAAGAUCUUCAAGGCAUGGUUGAAAGCCAUGCUUCUUUGAAUAGAUCUUAAGCUGAAUACGUCCAAGACUAAAGUUAUGACGAACAUAUCUAGUAAAUCGAUUCCAACCAUUACGGUUGGGAACGAAAGACAGGAGGUGGUCGAGCAAUACGUAUAUCUUGGAUAUAUUCUACCAUUUGACAAAACACAUCACCAGAAGGAAAUCUCCAGGAGAAUCCAGCUGGGUUGGGCGGCAUUUAAUAAACUAGCGGACAUCCUCAAACCCGUUAACAUUCCACAAUGCCUGAAAACUCGCCUCUUUAACCAAUGUGUCCUACCUACCAUGACCUACGGUGCCGAGACAUGAACGCUCACUAAAGAGGCUGUGUAUAAAAUCCGAGUGGCACAGAGAACCGAGUGAGGAAUGUCGAGAUCCGACGCCGCACCAAGAUGCAAGACGUCGGAUACGUCAUCACCAAACUUAAAUGGAGCUGGGCGGGACAUGUUGCCAGGCAGAGUGAUGGCA